UAGAGUAUCUGCCUAGAAACUGGACAGUUCUUGAAGAGCGAGAACCUAAGGACUGAUGUUCAAUUAAGGAAGUCUCUCAGCUAACAACAUCAUGUAAGACUAUCGUCCUUGCAUCGGUUUGUGAAAUUGUUCCAUUACGUAGCGCCAAGACUUCAGGUGAUACUGUGAAUGAGAAGAUUUUCCUUAGCAGGAGAGUUUGCAAAGCUGAGAAUAAUAACUUGGUGGAAGAUCUCUUAUGCACUGGCUGCCAGCUAUGCGGUUCACCCUUAGGUUCAGAGGUAUAUCUUAGGAAAAAGUUGAGCAUUGAUACAUAGUGGGUGAAUAAGUUUAUGUUUCUUCUCACCUCUCGUUGCCAUUUUGCUUCUCACUGAAAUCACUCCAAAAAGCAUUGCGGUUCAUAAUGCCACAGAGGUGGCUCGGUUUGUGGUCAGGCCAGUGGCAUGGCUUUCUCUGGUAUUGUAUCCCGUUGGAAGGAUUGUUACCAUUCUUUCAAUGGGGAUGCUUAAAUUGCUUGGCUUAAAAGGAAGUAAGUAUGCUUAAAAGAUAGCCACUGAUUGAUCUUCACUUCUUGUAAUUAGUUUAUUGUUUUUUACUUAUUUACGCGUGUUUUGAAAUCUGAUUCUUAUUUGUGAUGUGAAUCUUAGUCCCUUCAUCAUAGGGAUGACAUUUUUUUCUCACUGCACCGCGAUAACUGCAUUUUCUAAGGUUGUUUUUGUUUAUAAGUGUGAUAAAGAGAUUGAUUAAAUGGAGAAAUGAAGUUACUUUGUUGAUCACUAGGUUUUUGUUAAUUGUAGCUGCAAGGUAGUUGUUGGUAAUGGUUUUUGUGAUUUUUUUGCUCUCGUGUAUUUUUGAACCUUUGUUUGAAAGAGAAAGCAUUGUUUGCCGCCUUCGUGUGUUAAGCUCAUAGGAUAAAGAAUGGAGACACAACCUUUUACUAUUAUAGAAAGUGUUUUGAUAUUUGUAAGAUGUUUCACUGAGUGUUGAUAUUGAGGCAAACAUUGGAAGCACAUGAAUCAUAACUGUGAUAGGAAAAAAGAUCACUCUCAAACUAGACUGGAAUCGUAACUGCAGUAUCUAUAUCUUCAAUAUUGUAUUGGACUGAAAGUUAAGCAAUUGAUAUUGUAUAGAAAGAGUAAGAUCAGUACAGAGAUAAGAAUUUUGAUGAACAUUGUUGUCAAAUAGAAACUACAGAUUAGUGGCGCUCUAGUGCAGCAAAAAUUUAGCAAAUUGGUAUUGUUCUGUGAUACACUAUUUAGUACAAAGUGUUGUCAAAAUGUAGCGGUGCUAUAGCUGUGUAGGGUAGUGAAAUUUAAACAAACCGUAAUUUCCUGCGAUCCAUAAUUGGCAACUCCGUGGAUAAGUGAUUACAAAAGACUCGAUAGUAUUAGAAAUGAAAUCGCUAGAGAUAAAAUUGGGGUAAAUUUUAGUGUAGAAAAGGUAUCAGUUUAUUGUCUUAUGUGGUUUG